GACGAACGCUGGCGGCGUGCCUAAUACAUGCAAGUCGAGCGGACAGAUGGGAGCUUGCUCCCUGAUGUUAGCGGCGGACGGGUGAGUAACACGUGGGUAACCUGCCUGUAAGACUGGGAUAACUCCGGGAAACCGGGGCUAAUACCGGAUGCUUGUUUGAACCGCAUGGUUCAAACAUAAAAGGUGGCUUCGGCUACCACUUACAGAUGGACCCGCGGCGCAUUAGCUAGUUGGUGAGGUAAUGGCUCACCAAGGCGACGAUGCGUAGCCGACCUGAGAGGGUGAUCGGCCACACUGGGACUGAGACACGGCCCAGACUCCUACGGGAGGCAGCAGUAGGGAAUCUUCCGCAAUGGACGAAAGUCUGACGGAGCAACGCCGCGUGAGUGAUGAAGGUUUUCGGAUCGUAAAGCUCUGUUGUUAGGGAAGAACAAGUACCGUUCGAAUAGGGCGGUACCUUGACGGUACCUAACCAGAAAGCCACGGCUAACUACGUGCCAGCAGCCGCGGUAAUACGUAGGUGGCAAGCGUUGUCCGGAAUUAUUGGGCGUAAAGGGCUCGCAGGCGGUUCCUUAAGUCUGAUGUGAAAGCCCCCGGCUCAACCGGGGAGGGUCAUUGGAAACUGGGGAACUUGAGUGCAGAAGAGGAGAGUGGAAUUCCACGUGUAGCGGUGAAAUGCGUAGAGAUGUGGAGGAACACCAGUGGCGAAGGCGACUCUCUGGUCUGUAACUGACGCUGAGGAGCGAAAGCGUGGGGAGCGAACAGGAUUAGAUACCCUGGUAGUCCACGCCGUAAACGAUGAGUGCUAAGUGUUAGGGGGUUUCCGCCCCUUAGUGCUGCAGCUAACGCAUUAAGCACUCCGCCUGGGGAGUACGGUCGCAAGACUGAAACUCAAAGGAAUUGACGGGGGCCCGCACAAGCGGUGGAGCAUGUGGUUUAAUUCGAAGCAACGCGAAGAACCUUACCAGGUCUUGACAUCCUCUGACAAUCCUAGAGAUAGGACGUCCCCUUCGGGGGCAGAGUGACAGGUGGUGCAUGGUUGUCGUCAGCUCGUGUCGUGAGAUGUUGGGUUAAGUCCCGCAACGAGCGCAACCCUUGAUCUUAGUUGCCAGCAUUCAGUUGGGCACUCUAAGGUGACUGCCGGUGACAAACCGGAGGAAGGUGGGGAUGACGUCAAAUCAUCAUGCCCCUUAUGACCUGGGCUACACACGUGCUACAAUGGACAGAACAAAGGGCAGCGAAACCGCGAGGUUUAGCCAAUCCCACAAAUCUGUUCUCAGUUCGGAUCGCAGUCUGCAACUCGACUGCGUGAAGCUGGAAUCGCUAGUAAUCGCGGAUCAGCAUGCCGCGGUGAAUACGUUCCCGGGCCUUGUACACACCGCCCGUCACACCACGAGAGUUUGUAACACCCGAAGUCGGUGAGGUAACCUUUUAGGAGCCAGCCGCCGAAGGUGGGACAGAUGAUUGGGGUGAAGUCGUAACAAGGUAGCCGUAUCGGAAGGUGCGGCUGGAUCACCUCCUUUCUAAGGAUAUUUACGGAAUAUAAGACCUUGGGUCUUAUAAACAGAACGUUCCCUGUCUUGUUUAGUUUUGAAGGAUCAUUCCUUCGAAACGUGUUCUUUGAAAACUAGAUAACAGUAGACAUCACAUUCAAUUAGUAAGACAAGAUAUCACAUAGUGAUUCUUUUUAACGGUUAAGUUAGAAAGGGCGCACGGUGGAUGCCUUGGCACUAGGAGCCGAUGAAGGACGGGACGAACACCGAUAUGCUUCGGGGAGCUGUAAGCAAGCUUUGAUCCGGAGAUUUCCGAAUGGGGAAACCCACCACUCGUAAUGGAGUGGUAUCCAUAUCUGAAUUCAUAGGAUAUGAGAAGGCAGACCCGGGGAACUGAAACAUCUAAGUACCCGGAGGAAGAGAAAGCAAAUGCGAUUCCCUGAGUAGCGGCGAGCGAAACGGGAUUAGCCCAAACCAAGAGGCUUGCCUCUUGGGGUUGUAGGACACUCUGUACGGAGUUACAAAAGAACGAGGUAGAUGAAGAGGUCUGGAAAGGCCCGCCAUAGGAGGUAACAGCCCUGUAGUCAAAACUUCGUUCUCUCCUGAGUGGAUCCUGAGUACGGCGGAACACGUGAAAUUCCGUCGGAAUCCGGGAGGACCAUCUCCCAAGGCUAAAUACUCCCUAGUGACCGAUAGUGAACC
rnacentral:rRNA from 1 species